rnacentral:rRNA from 1 species
CCGCUAAUGUGAUUGCAGAUUCAGUGAUCAUCGAAUCUUUGAACGCACAUUGCGCCCAUUAGUAUUCUAGUGGGCAUGCCUGUUCGAGCGUCAUUAAGUCCAUUAAGCCUAGUUGCUUAGCGUUGGGAGCAUUACCGCAUGGUAACUCCUUAAAGUCAGUGGCAGGGUUACGGUACACUCUAAGCGUAGUAGAUUUCUUUCUCGCUUUUGCUGUGGCCGCGGCCGUUGCCAUAAACCUAUAUUUAAUUGGUUGACCUCGGAUCAGGUAGGAAUACCCGCUGAACUUAAGCAUAUCAAUAAGCGGAGGAAAAGAAACCAACAGGGAUUGCCUUAGUAACGGCGAGUGAAGCGGCAACAGCUCAAAUUUGAAAUCUGGCCCCAGGCCCGAAUUGUAAUUUGUAGAGGAUGCUUUUGGUGCGGUACCUUCCGAGUUCCCUGGAACGGGACGCCUUAGAGGGUGAGAGCCCCGUACGGUUGGAUGCCUAGCCUCUGUAAAGCUCCUUCGACGAGUCGAGUAGUUUGGGAAUGCUGCUCUAAAUGGGAGGUAAAUUUCUUCUAAAGCUAAAUACCGGCCAGAGACCGAUAGCGCACAAGUAGAGUGAUCGAAAGAUGAAAAGCACUUUGAAAAGAGGGUUAAAUAGUACGUGAAAUUGUUGAAAGGGAAGCGCUUAUGACCAGACUUUUGCCUUGCGGAUCAUCCGGUGUUCUCACCGGUGCACUUCGCUUGGUUAAGGCCAGCGUCGAUUUUAGUAGGAGGAUAAAGGCUGGGGAAACGUAGCUCUUCCGGGAGUGUUAUAGUCCCCUGCGUAAUACCCUUACCGGGAUCGAGGUUCGCGCUCUGCAAGGACGCUGGCAUAAUGGUCAUCAGUGACCCGUCUUGAAACACGGACCAAGGAGUCGAACAUUUGUGCGAGUGUUUGGGUGUUAAACCCUCACGCGUAAUGAAAGUGAACGGAGGUGAGAGCCCUCGGGUGCAUCAUCGACCGAUCCUGAUGUCUUCGGAUGGAUUUGAGUAAGAGCAUAACUGUUCGGACCCGAAAGAUGGUGAACUAUGCGUGGAUAGGGUGAAGCCAGAGGAAACUCUGGUGGAGGCUCGCAGCGGUUCUGACGUGCAAAUCGAUCGUCAAAUCUGCGCAUGGGGGCGAAAGACUAAUCGAACCAUCUAGUAGCUGGUUACCGCCGAAGUUUCCCUCAGGAUAGCAGUGUUGUUUUCAGUUUUAUGAGGUAAAGCGAAUGAUUAGGGACUCGGGGGCGCUUUUUAGCCUUCAUCCAUUCUCAAACUUUAAAUAUGUAAGAAGCCCUUGUUACUUAAUUGAACGUGGGCAUUCGAAUGUAUCAACACUAGUGGGCCAUUUUUGGUAAGCAGAACUGGCGAUGCGGGAUGAACCGAACGCGAGGUUAAGGUGCCAGAGUAGACGCUCAUCAGACACCACAAAAGGUGUUAGUACAUCUUGACAGCAGGACGGUGGCCAUGGAAGUCGGAAUCCGCUAAGGACUGUGUAACAACUCACCUGCCGAAUGUACUAGCCCUGAAAAUGGAUGGCGCUCAAGCGUCUCACCCAUACCUCGCCCUCAGGGUAGAAACGAUGCCCUGAGGAGUAGGCGGCCGUGGAGGUCAGUGACGAAGCCUAGGGCGGAGCCCGUUCGAAGUUUCU